rnacentral:rRNA from 1 species
CAGUAGCCGCGGUAAUACAGAGGGUGCGAGCGUUAAUCGGAUUUACUGGGCGUAAAGCGUGCGUAGGCGGCUUCUUAAGUCGGAUGUGAAAUCCCCGAGCUUAACUUGGGAAUUGCAUUCGAUACUGGUUAGCUAGAGUGUGGGAGAGGAUGGUAGAAUUCCAGGUGUAGCGGUGAAAUGCGUAGAGAUCUGGAGGAAUACCGAUGGCGAAGGCAGCCAUCUGGCCUAAUACUGACGCUGAGGUACGAAAGCAUGGGGAGCAAACAGGAUUAGAUACCCCUGUAGUCCCUGUCUCUUAUAC